AUUGAACGCUGGCGGCAUGCUUUACACAUGCAAGUCGGACGGCAGCACAGAGAAGCUUGCUUCUUGGGUGGCGAGUGGCGCACGGGUGAGUAAUAUAUCGGAACGUACCGAGUAAUGGGGGAUAACUAAUCGAAAGAUUAGCUAAUACCGCAUAUUCUCUGAGGAGGAAAGCAGGGGACCUUCGGGCCUUGCGUUAUUCGAGCGGCCGAUAUCUGAUUAGCUAGUUGGUGGGGUAAAGGCCUACCAAGGCGACGAUCAGUAGCGGGUCUGAGAGGAUGAUCCGCCACACUGGGACUGAGACACGGCCCAGACUCCUACGGGAGGCAGCAGUGGGGAAUUUUGGACAAUGGGCGCAAGCCUGAUCCAGCCAUGCCGCGUGUCUGAAGAAGGCCUUCGGGUUGUAAAGGACUUUUGUCAGGGAAGAAAAGGCUGUUGCUAAUAUCAAGAGCUGAUGACGGUACCUGAAGAAUAGGCACCGGCUAACUACGUG
rnacentral:rRNA from 1 species